CACUAUGCCUAGCCCUAAACUUUGAUGGCAUUAUACACCCACCAUCCGCCUGGGGACUACGAGCACUAGCUUAAAACCCAAAGGACUUGGCGGUGCUUUAGAUCCACCUAGAGGAGCCUGUUCUAGAACCGAUAACCCCCGUUAAACCUCACCCUCCCUUGCUCUUCCCGCCUAUAUACCGCCGUCGUCAGCUUACCCUGUGAAGGCUUAAUAGUAAGCAGAACUAGUACAACUCAAAACGUCAGGUCGAGGUGUAGCACAUGAGAGGGGAAGAAAUGGGCUACAUUCUCUAUCUCAGAAUAUACGGACAAUGAAAUGAAAAAACAUUAGAAGGAGGAUUUAGUAGUAAGCAGAAAACAGAGUGUUCUGCUGAAACUGGCCCUGAAGCGCGCACACACCGCCCGUCACUCUCCCCAAGCCACUUCCAUCCUAUUCAUAAAAAAUAACCCAGGCAAAGGGGAGGCAAGUCGUAA
rnacentral:rRNA from 1 species